CUACGGGAUGCUCCAGUGAGGAAUAUUGCACAAUGGGGGGAACCCUGAUGCAGCAACGCCGCGUGGAGGAUGACGCAUUUCGGUGUGUAAACUCCUUUUAUAUGUCAAGAAAAUGACGGUAGCAUAUGAAUAAGCACCGGCUAACUCCGUGCCAGCAGCCGCGGUAAUACGGGAGGGUGCAAGCGUUACUCGGAAUCACUGGGCGUAAAGGACGCGUAGGCGGGGUGGAAAGUCAGGUGUGAAAUCCUACAGCUUAACUGUAGAACUGCACUUGAAACUUCUAAUCUAGAGUAUGGGAGGGGGAGAUGGAAUUAGUGGUGUAGGGGUAAAAUCCGUAGAUAUCACUAGGAAUACCUAAAGCGAAGGCGAUCUCCUGGAACAUUACUGACGCUAAGGCGUGAAAGCGUGGGGAGCAAACAGGAUUAGAUACCCCCGUAGUC
rnacentral:rRNA from 1 species